rnacentral:rRNA from 1 species
GCGGUAAUACGGAGGAUGCAAGCGUUAAUCGGAAUUACUGGGCGUAAAGCGCACGCAGGCGGUUGGAUAAGUUAGAUGUGAAAAGCCCCGGGCUCAACCUGGGAAUUGCAUUCGAUACUGGUCAGCUAGAGUAUGGGAGAGGAUGGUAGAAUUCCAGGUGUAGCGGUGAAAUGCGUAGAGAUCUGGAGGAAUACCGAUGGCGAAGGCAGCCAUCUGGCCUAAUACUGACGCUGAGGUACGAAAGCAUGGGGAGCAAACAGGAUUAGAUACCCUGGUAGUCCAUGCCGUAAACGAUGUCUACUAGCCGUUGGGGCCUUUGAGGCUUUAGUGGCGCAGCUAACGCGAUAAGUAGACCGCCUGGGGAGUACGGUCGCAAGACUAAAAACUCAAAUGAAUUGACGGGGGCCCGCACAAGCGGUGGAGCAUGUGGUUUAAUUCGAUGCAACGCGAAGAAACCUUACCUGGCCUUGACAUAGUAGAAACUUUCCAGAGAUGGAUUGGUGCCUUCCGGGAAUCUACAUACAGGUGCUGCCAUGGCUGUCGCCAGCUCGUGUCGUGAGAUGUUGGGUUAAGUCCCGCAACGAGCGCAACCCUUUUCCUUACUUGCCAGCAUUUCGGAUGGGAACUUUAAGGAUACUGCCAGUGACAAACUGGAGGAAGGCGGGGACGACGUCAAGUCAUCAUGGCCCUUACGGCCAGGGCUACACACGUGCUACAAUGGUCGGUACAAAGGGUUGCUACCUAGCGAUAGGAUGCUAAUCUCAAAAAGCCGAUCGUAGUCCGGAUUGGAGUCUGCAACUCGACUCCAUGAAGUCGGAAUCGCUAGUAAUCGCGGAUCAGAAUGCCGCGGUGAAUACGUUCCCGGGCCUUGUACACACCGCCCGUCACACCCAUGGGAGUUUGUUGCACCAGAAGUAGGUAGUCUAACCCUUAGGGAGGACGCUACCA